GACGUAGGGGGCGAGCGUUGUCCGGAUUUAUUGGGCGUAAAGCGUGCGUAGGCGGCUGCGCAAGUCGGGUGUGAAACCCCGGGGCUCAACCCCGGAACUGCAUCCGAUACUGCGUGGCUAGAGGUAGGUAGGGGAGAUCGGAAUUCCUGGUGUAGCGGUGAAAUGCGCAGAUAUCAGGAGGAACACCGGUGGCGAAGGCGACAUCCUGGACCGGUAUUGACGCUGAGGCGCGAAAGCCAGGGGAGCAAACGGG
rnacentral:rRNA from 1 species